UACGUAGGGUGCGAGCGUUGUCCGGAAUUAUUGGGCGUAAAGGGCUCGUAGGCGGUUUGUCGCGUCGGGAGUGAAAACACCGGGCUUAACUCGGUGCUUGCUUUCGAUACGGGCAGACUAGAGGUAUGCAGGGGAGAACGGAAUUCCUGGUGUAGCGGUGAAAUGCGCAGAUAUCGGGAAGAACACCCGUGGCGAAGGCGGCUUUCUGGGACGGUACUGACGCUGAGACGCGAAAGCGUGGGGAGCGAACAGG
rnacentral:rRNA from 1 species